AAGCACAGUAUUUUCAUUUUCACUUCUAUUUUUGAUGCAUGAAUGGAACUAAAAGACAUGAUGAGAUGCUUAACUGCUCCUAGUUCAUUUGUUAUUAAUGAUUUUAGGUAGAAGCUGUCGUGUCAAAGCAUCCUGGCGUUGCUGGCGCUGUUGUUGUUGGACUCCCAGACUCCCGCUUCACAGAAAUAGUAGUUGCUUGCAUUCAACCAAAACCUACCUGGACAUGGUCCGAUUAUAGUUCAAAACUGUCAGCUAAAGACGAUGAUCGAUGNAUUCAAAUUACGUGCAUAAAGUCAAAGCGACUAUUAUUUAAGAACGGAGGAGUAUACACUGUGCGAGUAUGACUUCUAUGAUGUCUUCGUGUCGUGCAAAAUUAUUUUCAAAUUAGAAAUUCGAUAGUCGUGAUUACAUCCUUGCCGAGAAUUGAUGUAGUAUAACUUUUAUGAUUAAUUUCAAGUACAUCAGUCACCUGGAUUUGAAAAUCGAUUUAAAAAUUAUCUCUAUAAGAAAUUAAAUAUUAAAAAGAUUCUAAAUAAAUAUUAAAACUCAAAUAUGUGGUGCACGCUAUAUAAACUGGGAUCUAUAUGUGGUUCGGAUUUUAUGAAUAUCACUUUCAUUUUAGGAACCUUGAACCGCAAUCAAAUUAUUGCAAAAUAUGUAUGACAAAAAUAAAUAAAUAUUGCACAAUUGUUAUUAUACAUAAUAUGAUCUUCUUAAUACAUAAAAAUUGGUAAAAAUAAUAAUUUCUACCGUCAACUUACUUAAAAUUACAUGUAAAUAGAUAAGGGGUGUCUAUAAAGAACAAAUCAAAUAUAAUUAAAAGGACUAAUCUUAUGAAGAAAGAAAAAUAAAAUAAAAUACUAAAAUUUUAGUAGAGAAUGGAUAAGAUAACACAGUAUCGCUGGCUUAAACUCUCAUCACUCACUCUGCAGAUACUCUGUUUCUUUCAAACCUCUUUUUCUUCUUUAAACUCUCAGGUUUUCAUGUAAAACAUACAAAAUUCGGGGAUGAGUAUUUACUCACAAGCUCAUAUUUGUCAAUGCCUGACCCGCAUUUCAACUCUCCGUCACAAUGCCACGGUGACGAUCACCGAAACUCGACGUAAAACCGGAGAGAAAUUUGUUGCAGAUGUUCUUAGUUUGGCUGGUGGACUUGUUGAAGUUGUUGGUCUUAAGCCUGGGGAUGUUGUUGCCAUUUCUGCACUUAAUAGGUAUGCAUGUGUUAUGAAUGCUAAAAUAAUUUUCGAGUUUCGAGAUUGUGUAAUAUGAUUUUUAUUUUAUUUUAAAUUUGUGUUUCAGUGAUUUGUAUUUGGAAUGGUUACUGGCAGUUACCUAUGUUGGAGGAAUCUGUGCUCCUUUUAAUUACAGAUGGGUAUGUUUAUCAUAUAAUAUUUGUGUUACGAUAUAAUAUAAGAUCGUGUUAGUGAUCCUCCUGACACCUAGAGGUCUUAAGAUAACCUGUAACGUAAGAUGGUAGAUGACUUGGAGUUUUUUCUUAAAGCAUGGUCCUAAACUUGUUUCCAUUAUGGGGGCUGUUUGAGUGAAUUUAAAAUAAGUGAUUCUUGUUUAAAGUAAAAAAGUGAAGGAGAAGUUAUAACCAAGUUAAGAGUUAUAAGUGAUUAAAGUGUUAGGGAAAUAAGUUUAAACCAUGAAACAAAAGCUAUUAUUCUCAACUUCUUAUAAGUAUUUUUUGACUAUUUACACAAACGGUAAGAAUAAGUGCUUCUAACUUAUAAAUCUAGAAACCCGGAUUUUAAGCCCGCCCAAACACCCCCAUUAUAUAGAAUAAUGAUGUUCAAUUUUGUCUACGAUUCCAGUGUACACGAAAUGAAGAACAGUUUAGAAUUUUAAGUGAAUUAUCUUGUUGUAGUUUUUUGUAAUAGCUUUUUUCUUGGUAUAGAGCUUGGCAGAGGCAAAAUCAGCAAUGGAAGUUGUGAGACCGAUUUUACUGGUAACAGAUGUGAAUUCUGGUUAUUGGCACUCAAAAUUUCGAGUUGAUACAAUCUCUUCUAUAAGUUGGCAUGUUCUGAUGGAGCAUCCAGUAGAGCUUGACAUCACUGCAAAUGGUAGUUAUCUUAAUCUAAGCUCAACAUAAAUAUGGAUUCUGUCCCGAUGCAAAUGCAAAGUUUUUACUUGUAUACUUAACAUUGUACUUAGGGGUGCCUUAUUUUCCAGUUUUAACUACUGAAAUGCUUAAGAAGUUAUGCGUGAAAUCACAAUCACUAAAUUACGUCUGGGGACCUGAUGGUGCUGCCAUAAUAUGCUUCACUUCAGGUAAGUUAUUCGUACAGUUCUUUUAAAUUUUUGGCUUUGCCCUCUAUGUAAAAAUUUGAAUCUUGGUCCCUGCAUAUAGGAACCACUGGAAGGCCAAAAGGAGUCACUUUAAGCCAUUCAGCUUUUACAGUACAAUCCCUGGCAAAAAUAGCAGCUGUUGGUUACGGUGAGAAUGAUGUAUGUCUAUUAUUUUUCACUUUCAUGGCAAAAUAAGAUUUGAAGUAAUCGUUAUUCUUUAGGAGAAGAUAAGAUCAAAUCAGAUUGAUUAAAAUGAUUUUGUGAAUGUUGCUUAACUAAUAUACAUAGACAAAGAAAAAUGAGACUGUUGUUUAAUUGCAGGUAUAUCUGCAUACUGCUCCAUUGUGCCACAUUGGAGGAUUAUCAUCAGCCUUGGCGAUGCUAAUGGUAGGUGGCUGUCAUGUUUUGAUACCCAAGUUUGAAGCUAGGUUAGCUCUUGAAGCCAUCGACCAACAUGGAGUGACUUCCCUGAUAACCGUCCCUGCAAUGCUCUCUGACAUGGUCUCUGUAAUCAGGUAUGUAGAUAAUAAGCAAUGAAGACUUUAAGAAAUUAAGAUGAAAUUGGAGAUUUUUAUAUAAAAAAUGAUGUUUUAUUAUAAAUUUUUCAUCUACUACUUUCUCCUUCUCCUAACUGGACAUUAUUAAUUUCCACACUUGUGUUGAUUGUAUUUAUGGUCAUAUCGGAAGCUUCUGGCAGGACGAAAGAAGCAAAGGACAGUUUACAAUCAAUAAAGAAAAUCUUAAAUGGAGGCGGGAGCCUAUCAGCUGAGCUACUUAAAGAUGCAAUUCAAAUUUUUCCAAGAUCAAAAAUUGUCUCUGCUUAUGGUGAGUUAUUGUCUAGUUCUCUAGAUAAUAUAGAUCGAUCAGAUGUUCUCAGCCCAAGGAAAAUAGUUAAUUUUAGGUCCUUAAGUAGAAUCCUGUUCUUGUCAACUGAUAAUUAUGUUACUUUAUAAAUCAGCAUGGUGCUCUAGAUCCUCACUAAGUGUCCGUAUCCAUACAGUAGUAUUAAAUUUAACAUCAUCCAGACGAAAACCAUACUUGUCUUGUAUCUGAGUUAUGAAAGUUCUGUUUGCAGGGAUGACAGAGGCAUGUUCUUCUCUCACCUUUAUGACCCUCUACGAUUCAGCAAAAGAAAAUUGUGACCAGUCCUUAAUGAAGGGAGAAACAAGACCGGAGUUCCAUGAACCACGGGGCGUCUGUGUUGGAAAGACUGCUCCACAUGUUGAACUAAAGAUAAACUCUGAAGAUGUUUCUCAUGCUGGACUAAUUUUAAUAAGGGGUCCCCAUAUGAUGCUUGGUUAUUGGGGCCAAAUACCAACCGAAAAGCCUGUUCCUGGUAAUGGAGAUUGGUUUGAUACAGGUGACAUAGGGAGACUAGACAACGAUGGAAAUGUCUGGCUCAUUGGGCGGACAAAUGACAGGAUCAAGAGCGGUGGGGAGAAUGUUUACCCUGAAGAGGCAAGCACAGUAUUUUCAUUUUCACUUCUAUUUUUGAUGCAUGAAUGGAACUAAAAGACAUGAUGAGAUGCUUAACUGCUCCUAGUUCAUUUGUUAUUAAUGAUUUUAGGUAGAAGCUGUCGUGUCAAAGCAUCCUGGCGUUGCUGGCGCUGUUGUUGUUGGACUCCCAGACUCCCGCUUCACAGAAAUAGUAGUUGCUUGCAUUCAACCAAAACCUACCUGGACAUGGUCCGAUUAUAGUUCAAAACUGUCAGCUAAAGACGAUGAUCGAUGCCUUACCAGUCAGAUACUUCAGAACUUCUGCAAAGAAAACAAUUUAAC
rnacentral:lncRNA from 1 species